rnacentral:rRNA from 1 species
GACGAACGCUGGCGGCGUGCUUAAUACAUGCAAGUCGAACGGAAAGGCCCUGCUUUUGUGGGGCGCUCGAGUGGCGAACGGGUGAGUAACACGUGAGUAACCUGCCCUUGACUUUGGGAUAACUUCAGGAAACUGGGGCUAAUACCGGAUAGGAGCUCCUGCUGCAUGGUGGGGGUUGGAAAGUUUCGGCGGUUGGGGAUGGACUCGCGGCUUAUCAGCUUGUUGGUGGGGUAGUGGCUUACCAAGGCUUUGACGGGUAGCCGGCCUGAGAGGGUGACCGGCCACAUUGGGACUGAGAUACGGCCCAGACUCCUACGGGAGGCAGCAGUGGGGAAUAUUGCACAAUGGGCGGAAGCCUGAUGCAGCAACGCCGCGUGCGGGAUGACGGCCUUCGGGUUGUAAACCGCUUUCGCCUGUGACGAAGCGUGAGUGACGGUAAUGGGUAAAGAAGCACCGGCUAACUACGU